rnacentral:lncRNA from 1 species
ACAGCGGCAGCAGCGGCGGCGGACGAAACAGCAGCAAAAUCAGCAGUAGGCAUACAAGCAGUGCAACUUUGGACUUUACACCGCCAACACCAGCGACUGAGGCAGCAAGCACCACCGGCAGCUGGUGCUGCACAAAUACCUGCAGCUAGGGAUACGUUGAAUGUUGAAAACAGAUGAUGACUUGAACGUACGAUCGUCUGGUUGAAUUCCUUGUCAUCAUGCACAAUGUAAUCCCUUGUGUGAGGGGCAUCGAUAAACCACGUAUUGGGAAAUAUCCUUAAAAAUAUAACCCAACCAAACAUCAAAAUAUAGCAGAAAGCACAAGAAUUAGAUGAAGUAGAAGUAAAAAAAAAAAAAAAUCCAAGCAACAACAAAAAAAUACAACCUA